CCCUUAACUAUUAAAAGCUUCGUUUUGGUCCGUUAACUUACUUUUUGGUUUCGUUUUGGUCCCUUAACUCAUCCUCCGUCAACCACUUUGAUCCUUUAUGUUAGGAUGAAUGUAUUAGAGUUAAGGGACCAAAAUGAAACAAAAAAAUAAGUUAAGGGACCAAAAUGAAACCAAAAAAUAAGUGAAGGGACCAAAACGAAACUUUUAAUAGUUAAGGGAUCAAAAGAAAACCCAAAAAUAAGUUAUAGGACCGAAACGAAACUUUUAAUAGUUAAGGGA
rnacentral:pre_miRNA from 1 species